rnacentral:rRNA from 1 species
AUUGAACGCUGGCGGCAUGCCUUACACAUGCAAGUCGAACGGCAGCGGGGGAGAAGCUUGCUUUUCCUGCCGGCGAGUGGCGAACGGGUGAGUAAUACAUCGGAACGUGCCCUGUAGUGGGGGAUAACUAGUCGAAAGAUUAGCUAAUACCGCAUACGACCUGAGGGUGAAAGUGGGGGACCGCAAGGCCUCAUGCUAUAGGAGCGGCCGAUGUCUGAUUAGCUAGUUGGUGGGGUAAAGGCCUACCAAGGCGACGAUCAGUAGCUGGUCUGAGAGGAAGAUCAGCCACACUGGGACUGAGACACGGCCCAGGCUCCUACGGGAGGCAGCAGUGGGGAAUUUUGGACAAUGGGCGAAAGCCUGAUCCAGCAAUGCCGCGUGUGUGAAGAAGGCCUUCGGGUUGUAAAGCACUUUUGUCCGGAAAGAAAUGGCUCUGGUUAAUACCUGGGGUCGAUGACGGUACCGGAAGAAUAAGGACCGGCUAACUACGUGCCAGCCGCCGCAGUAA